CUUUACAUAACAUUCUUCCAAAAAUAUUACAUUUGAGUCUAGGGCAUCAGAACCCAAAAUUUACAAGUUUAUGCAAUAAAAAAAAUCCAGGACUAGACUCCCCAACCACAUACAAGAUUUAGAUCCCGCCUCCAAUAAGUCUGGCUUCAACUUCCUUCAGAAAUCCUUGUCGUUCCAACUCUUGGCCUGUGGUUAUCAUUCUACAAGGAGGGGAAGGAGAAAUGGGAUUAGCUAUACAGCCCAUAAGUAGGACUAAGCGCUAUGCAUCAAUAAUGAGCCUAUACAUGAAUCAUAAACAAUUUAUUUAACUAUAUGGAAUUUCAGUACAGCAGUCAUGAAAAUCAGCAUUCAGGUCAGUACAUCAAUUAUAAGCAUUUUAUCCAUAUAGCAGUUAACACUCAAGCGAUUCAAUCAUCGGUAUUCAUAAUCACUAUUCAAUCAUCACCCACUCACUCCUUAGUUCACCUACUCCCGUAUUAGAGGCCCUAUCCAUCGGGCUAAGCUAAUCCCAUCGCUUAGGACCUCUACCAUCUCCACUAAAGUAAUGCUCUCAUACUCACCCACACAACCCCAGUGCGUAUUAGGGGUUCGAUAGGUACCUGCCUUGCAAGGCGUCAGUCACUAGUCUCAUCUCAGUAAAUCUCGGGUGGUGUGACCCUUCCAUUUUGCUUUUCCCCCUAACUGCAUCCUAUCAUUCAACAAGUUAGGGGAUAUAGCCGACAUCACUUUCCUUAGUAUAACAGCCCUCACUACCGAUGGGUUUCCCAUCGCGUAGCGAGCAGUAUCAGUGAAACAAUGGUCAGUAUCACAGUAUUAUCAUAGAGCAGUACUCACUACCAAUGGGUGUCCCAUUACGUAGUGGUCAUCGUUAUGGCCCCAUAUCGUGCUCAAGCACUUAAUUUCAUUCAUGCUAAAUCAGUGCAUCAUAACAGAUAAAUCAAAUUUUAUCAUGCAAGAAUGGAGUCUUGCUCAGAAUCAUCAAACAUUCACAAAACAUUAUAACAAUUAUCAUGAACCAUCCAUUGCAUGAGCUGUCACAUAGCAUUUAUGCUUAGAAGUCAUCGAUAGAAAUUCGACACUUUUCAUAUAGCAUACAUCAUAGAAAAAUCACUUCAGCUUUACACUUAUCCAUUUAUCACAUAGAACAUAGUUGCGUAGCACCAACCACAUAAACCUCACAUAAUGCUCGUAUUUAUCACUUAUUAAAGAUGUUACAUAGCUACUUGAAUCACUUAAUGAGUAAUCCUGAGAAAGGUGGCAGAAAACGACUAUAACACUAAUUUUUUGAGGUGCAAUAGUGACAUACUCCUCUUCUUGGGGCUUAAUUCCCCAAUCUAGGGAGAAUUUCAAAACACUUUAAACAUGCAACCUCAAGUUCAUGCCCGAGACUUUAAAAUGGUGAUGAUUUGAAAUAAUUUGAACGACUUCUAAUAGGUCAAAAGCUCGGCUCAAAAUGAUUGAAAGUUGCUGGAAAUUUCCUGCAACAGUGGGUAGUGAUAAACCCAUGGGCAUAACUAUCAAUUUACAAGAAAUCUCAAAAUCAUCAAAACAUAAAACUUUAAUUUUAUUCACUGAUAUUUCAAAUGGUGCCAUUUUGAAGAUGUUUGGGCACCGUUGGUUAAGCCAAACGUGCCGCACAAAAAGAGUCACAGUUGCUGGAAUUUACCACGACUGUGGACAGUGAUAUGCCCAACGUUUUGGGGCAUAUCCUUUGAUCCAUACAAAAUUUUAUCAUAGUAUAAAUGUAAACUUAACAUAGACACACAUAUAUUUCAUUCAAGACCUAUUUGGGCCCAUUUGGGCACCGUUUGGUCAUCGAAAAGUCCAACGUAAAAAUCCUCACAGUUGCUGGAAAAUCCCUCUAUCCCACAUUUUAUCAUGCUAUCAAAUGAUACACCAUUUCACAAGCCAAAAUAAACUCAACACAAGCCUUAUUCAUGUUAAGUAAUUUAAGCAAGUUUUACAAGAAAACUGCUCUAUAAAUUUAUCAAGUUCAUUACUCAAUGCUCAAUGCCUCAUUGAAGCCUCUUUUUAUUCAUUUGUAUUCAUUCACCGCAUUCUAUCAUCUUGCUCUUCAAAUCAACUUAAUUUUAAAUCCUAUGAAGUGAAAUGAUGCACGAUACUAAACCCACUUACUUCGUGUCCACAGUGUCUUCAAAUCUCCCACUGGCAGGCCACCCCAAGUUCUGAGCAAUGGCUUCUCUAGGACAACAGUUAACUCACUGGUUCUAGAGAGAGAGAGAGAGCAAGGGAAAAGUGAGAGGAAUGGUGGAAAAUGGGGAGGGGAGAGGGCUUAAGUACCCAGAGUAGGUGAAGGUCACUGUAGUUGACGUGUACGGCUCUAACAGGUGUGGCAUUGACACGUACGACACUGACAAGUGUGGAACUGGCAGUGGUCAUAUCUUCCCUCUUCACCAUCGACGUUAGCUCUUCUCAGCCUUCACACACAACGAUACCCUAGUUCAUGCGCGACGAUGCUCCAGAUGGCGCUACACUCGCGGCGAUGCUCAAAUUUUCACUCGCGGUGAUGCCUUUCAC
rnacentral:lncRNA from 1 species